AUGUCUCUCCUUGAAACACUUACUAUAAAUCUUUUCCAAAUAGUCCUCGGAACCAGCCAACUGGUAAUGCUCGCCAUACUAAAGCUCACUCCUCCAAACCACAUAUUUCUCCUCUGAUUUGGUCAACUUAACCCUCUCAACGUCCAACUUCAACCAGUGUUAAAGAAAAUGUGAUUGUAACCGUCAGGCUUCGUCCCCUCAAGUACGUUUGUUUCAUUAUAUAUUAUAUAGACAGCGUGGUUUGUAACCGCUGUCAAAUGAAAUUACCACCGUCAGAUCUCUAAAAGAUUUAAUCCCUGCCGUAUAAAUUCAUAGAAAAAACCGUAAAACAUGCGGUUCUUGGAGGUUGAGCAUUCUCUCUCCACUUCCUUUUUUGUUUGUCAGUUUCGGGAAUAUCCCCAUUCAUAGGUCCGAGAUCUUUUUUUGGGCGGUUAUCAUUAUGUAGGCUGUUCAAAUCACGUGAAUCCGUAACCAGAGAGCUUUUAUUAUAUUCCAUCGCCAGCGGCCAUCGCAAUUGAUAUGUUCUGAUGUUCUCAAAUCAGAUUAUGACAAGCUUUCUCAGGUAGUUUACGCGUUACUGUGUAAGGGUUUCAAUCUAUGGAAUUGUAGUAAAUUGUAGGGUGUUUGGAUUUGUUGUUCUUAAUGUGUUAGGGUUUCAAUCUAUGGAAUUGUAGUAAAUUUUAGGGUGUUUGGAUUUGUUGUUCGUGUGAAAAAGUAUAUAUUCGUCAAGAGGGAGUAAUGCAUCUGGACAACAACAAUAGUCAAACUCACAGCCUUUCUCUGGUCAAUCUGCAUAGUUCAAAAUAUAAGCUUCUUAUCUUAGCUUUUUUCAUGCUAUAAUUAUUUGCAAUUGCAGUGUGCUCUCAUAUGCCAUAUGAACCAUGAAGAAAAAAAGAUCUCGAAAAAGUCACUUUCCUGUUUCAAGUAGUAAAUUUUGAGAAGCACUUUGAAAUCAGCCAAACCUUUUCUAUGUUAAUUCAUUUGUUUAAACUUUUAAAGUUAUGUUAGUUACUUGUGCUAUUUUGAUUGAAACCUAGGGUUAUAGUUAUCUGAACCAUGCCUCUACUAUGUUUUAUAAAUUGUUGUUAUGAUUCAAGAUGCGAACUUCUUUAAGACAUUAUCUUUAGGAAUAGUUCUUAUUACUAAACUUGUAGGGCUCUUUUUUUAAAUGUGAGUUGCUUGUAUUGGGCAACUGAUGGCUAUUCUGUAUACAUCACGGGUCUCCCAAUGAACGCUACACUUGCUUUGUUAGAGGAAGAAUUCAAGAAAUUUGGUCCUAUUAAGCCGAAUGGCAUUCAAGUUUGAAGCAACAGGGUACAUAUCCACUUUAUUUUUUCUAAGCUUUUGAACCGUAUUUUAACUUUGGUGAAACUCAUCGCAGCUGCAGGGAUUUUGUUUUGGAUUUGUUAAAAUUGAGGUGCCCAAUGCAGUUCAAAAAACGGUUGAGGAGUGCACUGGUUUUUGUUUAUAUGUUACAGUAGAUAGAAAAUGAUAAAAAAGAAUUUGUCUAUUGAAUAUUUUCAUUCAUCUCCAAACUUAGUGUUAUUCUUGUAACAUGUGUCUUAUGAUGUUUUAGGCCUUACCAGUCUCGAUUAAUGGACGAAAUGCUCUUGUUGAUGAAAAACGCUUCACAAACUCUGAAGGCAAGCUUUACCUCUUAACUCUAAUAAAGGAAACACAUGCAAUUAGAUUACAUGUGGUAAAAGAAAACAUGACUUGUAUGUUUGUACUUCGAUGACAUGUACAUUAUCAUAUGCAAUUUGUAGUUCGAUGACAUGUACAUUAUCAUGUGCAACUCGAUUUCAAAUUAAAUUUAGAUCGAAAAAAUAAGAACGUCGCGAAGGU
rnacentral:lncRNA from 1 species